GCCGGGUGAGGUGGCAUGAGCCUGUAGUCCCAACUAUUGGGAGGCUGAGGCUGGAGGAUCGCUUGAGCCCAGGAGUUCUGGGCUGUAGUGCACUAUGCCGAUCAGACGUCCUCACUAAGUUCGGCAUCAAUAUGGUGACCUCCUGGGAGUGGGGGACCACCAGGUUGCCUAAGGAGGGGCGUACUGGCCCAAGUCGGAAAUGGAACAGGUCAAAACUCCCGUGCUGAUCAGUAGCGGGAUCGCGCCUGUGAAUAGCCACUGCACUCCAGCCUGGGCAACAUAGCGAGACUCCCAUCUCUU
ensembl:misc_RNA Metazoa_SRP Metazoan signal recognition particle RNA